rnacentral:tRNA from 1 species
AGGGCUAUAGCUCAGUGGUAGAGCAUUCGCCUAGCGAGCACAGGCUCUGGGUUCCAUCCCCAGUACCACAA